GAUGAAUGCUAGCUACAGGCUUAACACAUGCAAGUCGAGGGGAAACGCCAUUGAAGCUUGCUUCGAUGGUCGUCGACCGGCGCACGGGUGAGUAACGCGUAUCCAACCUGCCUCUGACCAAGGGAUAACCCGUCGAAAGUCAGCCUAAUACCUUAUGCAGUCGUCGGAAUUCAUCUGAUGACGACGAAAGAUUUCAUCGGUGAGAGAUGGGGGUGCGUCUGAUUAGCUUGUUGGCGGGGUAACGGCCCACCAAGGCAGCGAUCAGUAGGGGUUCUGAGAGGAAGGUGCCCCACAUUGGAACUGGGACACAGUGCAAACGACUACGGGAGGCAGCAGUGAGGAAUAGUGGUCAAUGGGCGAGAGCCUGAACCAGCCAAGUAGCGUGCAGGAUGACGGCCCUGUGGGUUGUAAGCUGCUUUUAUGCGGGGAUAAAGUGAGGGACGUGUCCUUCAUUGCAGGUACCGGAUGAAUAAGGACCGGCUAAUUCCGUG
rnacentral:rRNA from 1 species